GACGAACGCUGGCGGCGUGCUUAACACAUGCAAGUCGAACGAAGAGCGCCGGACGCUUGCUUCUCUCAAUCUUAGUGGCGAACGGGCGAGUCACGCGUAAUCAACAUGCCCUUCAGAGGGGGACAACAGCUGGAAACGACUGCUAAUACCGCAUACGAUCUAAUCUCGGCAUCGAGGCUGGGUGAAAGGUGGCCUCUACAUGUAAGCUAUCCCUGAAGGAGGGGAUUGAGCCUGAUUGGCUAGGUGGGGGGGUAACGGCGGACCAAGGCGCGGAUCAGUAGCCGGUCUGAGAGGAGGAACUGCAACGUUGGGACGGGGACACGGCCCAGACUCCUGCGGGAGGCAGCAGGGGGGAAUCUUCCGCGAUGGACGCAGGGCUGACGGUGCAACGCCGCGUGAGUGAUGACGGCAUUCGGGUUGUGAGGCUGAGGUAGGCGGGAGGGAAGGCCUGCUUGCGAAUAGGGGGAGGGAUUGACGGUACCGGGAGAGAAAGCCACGGCUAACUACGUG
rnacentral:rRNA from 1 species